rnacentral:rRNA from 1 species
AUUAUGGAGAGUUUGAUCCUAGCUCAGGAUGAACGCUGGCGGCAUGCCUAACACAUGCAAGUUGAACGAGCUUAUAUUUUUAUAAAUUUAAGUUAAGUAGCGGACGGGUGAGUAACAUGUAAGAACCUACCUUUAGGAGGGGAAUAACUACUGGAAACGGUAGCUAAAACCCCAUAAGCUGCGGAGUAAAAAGUGAAAACUACCUAAAGAUGGGCUUGCAUCUGAUUAGCUUGUUGGUAAAUUAAUUGUUUACCAAGGCGAUGAUCAGUAGUUGGUCUAAGAGGAUGAUCAACCACACUGGGACUGAGACACGGCCCAGACCUCUACGGAGGGCAGCAG